AUAGCAUAUCAAUAAGCGGAGGAAAAGAAACCAACAGGGAUUACCUCAGUAACGGCGAGUGAAGCGGUAACAGCUCAAAUUUGAAAUCUGGCCUCACGGUCCGAGUUGUAAUUUGUAGAGGAUGCUUCGAGCAUGGUCUGGCCUAAGUUCCUUGGAACAGGACGUCAUAGAGGGUGAGAAUCCCGUAUGCGGCCAGGUGCCUACGCUCAUGUGAAGCUCCUUCGACGAGUCGAGUUGUUUGGGAAUGCAGCUCAAAAUGGGUGGUAAAUUUCAUCUAAAGCUAAAUAUUGGCCAGAGACCGAUAGCGCACAAGUAGAGUGAUCGAAAGAUGAAAAGCACUUUGGAAAGAGAGUUAAACAGUACGUGAAAUUGUUGAAAGGGAAGCGCUUGCAACCAGACUUGCGCGCGGCCGAUCAUCCGGUGUUCUCACCGGUGCACUCGGCCGUGCUCAGGCCAGCAUCGGUUUUGGCGGCUGGAUAAAGGCCCUAGGAAUGUGGCUCCUCUCGGGGAGUGUUAUAGCCUAGGGUGCAAUGCAGCCUGCUGGGACCGAGGACCGCGCUUCGGCUAGGAUGCUGGCGUAAUGGUUGUAAGCGGCCCGUCUUGAAACACGGACCAAGGAGUCUAACAUCUAUGCGAGUGUUUGGGUGUCAAACCCAUACGCGUAAUGAAAGUGAACGGAGGUGAGAACCCUUAAGGGUGCAUCAUCGACCGGUCCUGAAGUUUACGGAAGGAUCUGAGUAAGAGCAUAGCUGUUGGGACCCGAAAGAUGGUGAACUAUGCCUGAAUAGGGUGAAGCCAGAGGAAACUCUGGUGGAGGCUCGCAGCGGUUCUGACGUGCAAAUCGAUCGUCAAAUUUGGGUAUAGGGGCGAAAGACUAAUCGAACCAUCUAGUAGCUGGUUCCUGCCGAAU
rnacentral:rRNA from 1 species